GACGUAGGGCGCGAGCGUUGUCCGGAUUUAUUGGGCGUAAAGAGCUCGUAGGCGGCUCGUUGCGUCGGCUGUGAAAACCCGCAGCUCAACUGUGGGCUUGCAGCCGAUACGGGCGGGCUAGGAUUCGGUGAGGGGAGACUGGAAUUCCUGGAUGUAGCGGUGAAAUGCGCAGAUAUCAGGAGGAACACCGGUGGCGAAGGCGGGUCUCUGGGCCGAUAAUCGACGCUGGAGGAGCGAAAGCGUGGGGAGCGAACAGG
rnacentral:rRNA from 1 species